ACGCGAGGCUGAUUGUGCCGUGGUUAUUAUUAUUUUAGAUUCGAUGCGAUGUUAUGCUUUCAUGAUGAUGAUCAUACAGAAAUCAACUGUCGUUCCGAUUUUUGUAUACGUUUUCGAUUAUGCAUUUGCGAAGUUUUCAAGGUUCAUACUUUUAGAUCCGUGGCCGAGAAAACCCCUAACGGUUUACCGUUCAGGUCCGCGAGCUCGUACGAACUGGUGCCCCGUUUGCUGAGGACUAUGCACGGAAGAUAUUGAGGCCCAAGUUUGGCGUUAUAUUUUUGGCCAGCUGAUGACUGUCGGAAGUUGCGUUUAAACACUCGCUGGCCCGGUUGGAAUGAGGGAAUUGAAUCAAUGCCGGCAGCUAGCAUCGCAGUCCUGCAAUCUUCCCUGGUAUUGCGGAACAAAGCUUCGAAUUUUCUAUGGUCAUCCCACUGCUUGGACAUACAACGGAAAAUACGGACGACAUCAAGUUUUUAACAGCUCUCGUAGAGCGCGUUCCUGGCUGCUGCGCCUCAAAUCAGACACGUCUGUGUGGCGGAUACGCAACUCAUGAUCAAGUUCUUGAUCGGAAAGAUGAGCUGGGUUAAUCGUUAAAUACUGUUCUUUUAGUUGUGAUUCCAUUUUCGCGCAGAGAAUUUCAGAGCUAAACGAUAGAUGAAAAUCCACAAGAACAGCAAAAGAAAAGUUAUAUAGAACUACCAAAAUAAUGAAUGCAAUGUCAAUGAGAUAAAAUCAUGAAUCAAAUUAACACCGAGGGAAUAAAUUAAACACAUAUGAUUAAAAAUAAUAAAUUAAAACAAAUAGAUUAAAAUGUUAGAUAACAGUAGGUACA